GAUGAAGAACGUAGCGAAAUGCGAUAAGUAAUGUGAAUUCCAGAAUUCAGUGAAUCAUCGAAUCUUUGAACGCACAUUGCGCCCGCCAGUAUUCUGGCGGGCAUGCCUGUUCGAGCGUCAUUUCAACCAUCAAGCCCCCGGCUUGUGUUGGGGACCUGCGGCUGCCGCAGGCCCUGAAAAGCAGUGGCGGGCUCGCUGUCACACCGAGCGUAGUAGCAUACAUCUCGCUCUGGGCGUGCUGCGGGUUCCGGCCGUUAAACCACCUUCAUAACCCAAGGUUGACCUCGGAUCAGGUAGGAAGACCCGCUGAACUUAAGCAUAUCAAUAAGCGGAGGA
rnacentral:misc_RNA from 1 species